rnacentral:rRNA from 1 species
UACGAAGGGUGCAAGCGUUAAUCGGAAUUACUGGGCGUAAAGCGUGCGUAGGCGGUUAUUUAAGUCUGCUGUGAAAUCCCCGGGCUCAACCUGGGAACUGCCUUUGUGACUGCAUAGCUAGAGUACGGUAGAGGGGGAUGGAAUUCCGCGUGUAGCAGUGAAAUGCGUAGAUAUGCGGAGGAACACCGAUGGCGAAGGCAAUCCCCUGGACCUGUACUGACGCUCAUGCACGAAAGCGUGGGGAGCAAACAGG